CUGCCCUUGGGUUCGGAAUAACAGUUAGAAAUGACUGCUAAUACCGGAUGAUGUCUUCGGACCAAAGAUUUAUCGCCCAGGGAUGAGCCCGCGUAGGAUUAGCUAGUUGGUGGGGUAGAGGCCUACCAAGGCGACGAUCCUUAGCUGGUCUGAGAGGAUGAUCAGCCACACUGGGACUGAGACACGGCCCAGACUCCUACGGGAGGCAGCAGUGGGGAAUAUUGGACAAUGGGCGAAAGCCUGAUCCAGCAAUGCCGCGUGAGUGAUGAAGGCCUUAGGGUUGUAAAGCUCUUUUACCCGGGAUGAUAAUGACAGUACCGGGAGAAUAAGCCCCGGCUAACUCCGUGCCAGCAGCCGCGGUAAUACGGAGGGGGCUAGCGUUGUUCGGAAUUACUGGGCGUAAAGCGCGCGUAGGCGGCUUUGUAAGUUAGAGGUGAAAGCCCGGAGCUCAACUUCGGAAUUGCCUUUAAGACUGCAUCGCUUGAAUCAUGGAGAGGUCAGUGGAAUUCCGAGU
rnacentral:rRNA from 1 species